CCGGGUUGUUUCAUAUGGUAUUCAGAGCAAGCUCUCGAAAGCUUGAUUCGUCAAGUUGCCGGAGGUGGGGACAUGAAGGCUGGUGGUAUUAUCCCGCAAUGGACUGAGAUCCGGAGGCGGGGACACGAAGCCAGUCGGUAUUAUCCCACAAUGGCUAGAGAGGUUCGAUCUGGGCCUAUGGGCUAUCCGUUUCGGCCUGACGAGGACGUCAGAAAUUUAAGUGGGAGAGUUUGUAACACCCCUGUCCCACAUCGAGAAGUGUGGGGACUUUAGUUCAGUUUAUAAGCACAAGUACUACUACUAAUUGCACCAACAAAUCAUGAUCUUUUGGGGGCCUGUGGUGGGCUUGUGGAUUACCCAAGUUGUUGCA
rnacentral:lncRNA from 1 species